CGGUAGGAAUCUCUGGCCGAUUGGGAGUUCCAUGCCACGGAGUGUUUCCGUUCCGUCCUGACGCUGGAGUCUCCAUCAUCCCGACGAGAGGGCUUGAACAGCAGACCGUCGGCAGAGGCAGUGCUGCGGGUUCAAGGUACCGACCUCCAUGAGUGAACAAAGGAGGAAGAUG